rnacentral:rRNA from 1 species
AUGAACGCUAGCUACAGGCUUAACACAUGCAAGUCGAGGGGCAUCAGGAAGAAAGCUUGCUUUCUUUGCUGGCGACCGGCGCACGGGUGAGUAACACGUAUCCAACCUGCCCUUUACUCGGGGAUAGCCUUUCGAAAGAAAGAUUAAUACCCGAUAGCAUAAUGAUUCCGCAUGGUUUCAUUAUUAAAGGAUUCCGGUAAAGGAUGGGGAUGCGUUCCAUUAGGUUGUUGGUGAGGUAACGGCCCACCAAGCCUUCGAUGGAUAGGGGUUCUGAGAGGAAGGUCCCCCACAUUGGAACUGAGACACGGUCCAAACUCCUACGGGAGGCAGCAGUGAGGAAUAUUGGUCAAUGGGCGGUAGCCUGAACCAGCCAAGUAGCGUGAAGGAUGAAGGCUCUAUGGGUCGUAAACUUCUUUUAUAUAAGAAUAAAGUGCAGUAUGUAUACUGUUUUGUAUGUAUUAUAUGAAUAAGGAUCGGCUAACUCCGUGCCAGCAGCCGCGGUAAUACGGAGGAUCCGAGCGUUAUCCGGAUUUAUUGGGUUUAAAGGGAGCGUAGGUGGACUGGUAAGUCAGUUGUGAAAGUUUGCGGCUCAACCGUAAAAUUGCAGUUGAUACUGUCAGUCUUGAGUACAGUAGAGGUGGGCGGAAUUCGUGGUGUAGCGGUGAAAUGCUUAGAUAUCACGAAGAACUCCGAUUGCGAAGGCAGCUCACUGGACUGCGACUGACACUGAUGCUCGAAAGUGUGGGUAUCAAACAGGAUUAGAUACCCUGGUAGUCCACACAGUAAACGAUGAAUACUCGCUGUUUGCGAUAUACAGUAAGCGGCCAAGCGAAAGCAUUAAGUAUUCCACCUGGGGAGUACGCCGGCAACGGUGAAACUCAAAGGAAUUGACGGGGGCCCGCACAAGCGGAGGAACAUGUGGUUUAAUUCGAUGAUACGCGAGGAACCUUACCCGGGCUUAAAUUGCAGUGGAAUGAUGUGGAAACAUGUCAGUGAGCAAUCACCGCUGUGAAGGUGCUGCAUGGUUGUCGUCAGCUCGUGCCGUGAGGUGUCGGCUUAAGUGCCAUAACGAGCGCAACCCUUAUCUUCAGUUACUAACAGGUUAUGCUGAGGACUCUGGAGAGACUGCCGUCGUAAGAUGUGAGGAAGGUGGGGAUGACGUCAAAUCAGCACGGCCCUUACGUCCGGGGCUACACACGUGUUACAAUGGGGGGUACAGAAGGCAGCUAGCGGGUGACCGUAUGCUAAUCCCAAAAUCCUCUCUCAGUUCGGAUCGAAGUCUGCAACCCGACUUCGUGAAGCUGGAUUCGCUAGUAAUCGCGCAUCAGCCACGGCGCGGUGAAUACGUUCCCGGGCCUUGUACACACCGCCCGUCAAGCCAUGGGAGCCGGGGGUACCUGAAGUACGUAACCGCAAGGAUCGUCCUAGGGUAAAACUGGUGACUGGGGCU